rnacentral:snoRNA from 1 species
AAUGCCCCUUGAGGCGUUGCAGCCCAACUGUCAGUGUUGCAGCUGUGUCAUAAGGUGGCAGAGAGAAACUGGUGGUGGUAUGCACUGAGACUCUACAACACACGGGGUUCUCAGAGUGGUUUUCAGCACCAACACU